UUCAGCUCUACCCCUAAUGGUUUUUCACAGGAUAUUACCUACCUUUCCAUUCUUGCUGCCGAUUCCUCCAAACAAAACCUGACCCAGUUCUUAAGAGGACCAUCUUAUUCAUCCAUGAGUCCAGACACAAAGGAAAAACCUGCCUGAUUCACUGUGUGGCAGGUGUGUCCUGUGGUGUUAUGCUGGUGGUGGCCGACAUCGUGAACUUCACUGGACUGGGCCGGGUGGAAGCGUUAGCUACGGUGAGGAUGGUAUAACCAUGUGCCGGACCUAACAAAGGGUUCAUAUGCCAGAUAGAAGACUUUGAGACCCAAGAG